UUAAACAUUUAUGGCUAUUAGAUGGGUAUGCGUCCUAUUAGUUAGUUGGUAAGGUAACGGCUUACCAAGGCAGCGAUAGGUAGGGGUCCUGAGAGGGAGAUCCCCACACUGGUACUGAGACACGGACCAGACUCCUACGGGAGGCAGCAGUGAGGAAUAUUGGACAAUGGGCGAGAGCCUGAUCCAGCCAUGCCGCGUGCAGGAAGACUGCCCUACGGGUUGUAAACUGCUUUUACAGAGGAAGAACCACCCCCACGUGUGGGGGUUUGACGGUACUCUGCGAAUAAGGAUCGGCUAACUCCGUG
rnacentral:rRNA from 1 species